CCCUAUGGGGUGCAGCAGUUACGAAACCUUUACGAUGCACGAAAGUGUGAUAAGGGGAUCCCAAGUGCCAUAGUUUUACUAUGGCUGUGGAGAAGUGUAAAGUACUUUUCAAGAAAGGGGUGGGUAAUACCGGUGCCAGCAGCCGCGGUAACCCCGGAGCCCCAAGUGGUGACCAUGUUUAUUGGGCCUAAAGCGCUCGUAGCAGGAUUAGUAAGUUCUCGGUGAAAUUGUUUAGCUUAACUGAACGAAUUGCCUUGAAUACUGCUAGUCUAGGGAUAGGGAGAGGUCAGUAGUAUGCCUGGGGGAGGGGUAAAAUCCUUUAAUCCUGGGUAGACUAUCAAUGGCGAAGGCAACUGACUGGAACUAGUCCGACUGUGAGGGACGAAAGUUAGGGUAGCAAACGGGAUUAGAUACCCCGGUAGUCCUAACCGUAAACGCUGUCCGCUGGGUGUUGCGCAUUCCUAGAGUCUGUGCAGUGCCGUAGAGAAGUCGUUAAGCGGACCGCCUGGGGAGUACGGUCGCAAGGCCGAAACUUAAAGGAAUUGGCGGGGGAGCACAACAAGGGGGGGCACCUGCGGUUUAAUUGGAUUCAACGCCGGAAAUCUCACCAGAGGCGACAGCAGUAUGAAGGCCAGAUUAAAGGUCUUGCCUAACGCGCUGAGAGGUAGUGCAUGGCC
rnacentral:rRNA from 1 species